rnacentral:lncRNA from 1 species
AGGCGGCAUAAAUCAAGUCCGUGGGGCAUGGAGGCUGCUGUGGCGGCUGAAGCUCAGCUUACCCGGGGCAGGAGCUCCCCCCCUUCUUUAGCCUCCCCAGCGCCCACACCCUGCCUUCUUCCUAAUUCUUCCCUAGAUAAUAGCGCCCUAACUACAACAGUCAUAAUAAUAGGGUCAGAACAACAGGGUUGGUUUGUUUUGAUCUACAGGAAAAGAAAAAAAAUCCAACCAGCAGCCUAGACAGCUCUGAAAACUGCAUUGCAAAAUGGAAGAGAGGGUCCCACUACUGUUUCAAAAGAUUUGGAUUCCUAACAAACAACCCAAUUGAAAAAUGGGCAGAAGACCUAAACAGACCUUUCUCCAAAGGAAAAUAUGGAUGGCCAGCAGGCACAUGAAAAAAUGCUCAACAUCACUAAUUAUUAGAGAAAUGCAAAUCCAAACUACAGUGAGGUGCCAUGUCAUACCAUUCAAAAUGGCCAUCAUUAACAAGUUAACAAAUAACAAAUGCUGAAGAGGAUAUGGAGAAAAGGGAACACUCCUUCACUCUUGGUGGAACAUAAAUUGGUAUAACCACUAUGGAAAACAGUAUGGAGGUUCCUCAGAAAACUAAAUAUAGAACUACCAUAUGAUCCAGCAAUCCCACUCAUGGCACCUAUCUGGACAAAACUUUCAUUCAAAAAGAUACAUGCACCCCUAUAUUCAUUGCAACACUAUUCACAAUAGUCAAGACAUGGAAACAACCCAAAUGUCCAUCAACAGAUAAAAGGAUUAAGAAGAUGUGGGACAUAUAUACAAUGGAAUACUACUCAGCCAUAAAAGGACAAAAUAAGUCAGAAAGAGAAGGACAAAUACCAUAUGAUAUCACUUAUAUGUGGAAUCUAAAAUAUCAGACAAGGAGUUCCUGCUGUGGCACAAUGGGAUCCUCAGCAUCUUGGGAGCAUUGGGAUGCAGGUUCAAUCCCCAGCCCAGCAAGUGGGUUAAGGAUUCAGUGUUGCCGUAGCUGUGGCUUGGGUUGCAACUGCAGCUUGGAUCUGAUCCUGGCCUGGGAACUCCAUAUGCUGUGGAGUGGCCAAAAAUGGAAAAAAAUAAAUAAAUAAAAUAAAAUAAAACAAAAUAAAA